GGAGAAUUAGCUCAGUGGUAGAGCGCUUGCCUAGGAAGCGCAAGGCCCUGGGUUCGGUCCCCAGCUCCG
rnacentral:tRNA from 1 species